rnacentral:misc_RNA from 1 species
CGGGAAGGAGCCAACGAAUGCGAAGUUUAGGAAGAUACGGAUGGGGAAUCCGAAGAUAAAGGAGGCUAUAGGUGAUGUUGUAGGAGGAGUUGAGCUAUUGGAAUUUGUUGGAUUUGAGUUGAAAGAAGAAGGUGGGGAAAUUUGGGGUGUGAUGGAUGUUCCUUCUGAAGAACAACUUGUUAAACUUAAGAAUGUAGUUUCGCUUUUGGAACCAAAGAAGGUUGAAGAGUUGGCAUCAGCAUCCCAAGUUAAGGCCGCGAGUAAACCAGUUGAGCUGAAGAAGAUUG